rnacentral:rRNA from 1 species
AGAUUGAACGCUGGCGGCAUGCCUUACACAUGCAAGUCGAACGGCAGCACGGGAGCAAUCCUGGUGGCGAGUGGCGAACGGGUGAGUAAUAUAUCGGAACGUGCCCAGUCGUGGGGGAUAACGCAGCGAAAGCUGUGCUAAUACCGCAUACGAUCUAUGGAUGAAAGCGGGGAUCGCAAGACCUCGCGCGAUUGGAGCGGCCGAUAUCAGAUUAGCUAGUUGGUAGGGUAAAAGCCUACCGAAGGCGACGAUCUGUAGCUGGUCUGAGAGGACGACCAGCCACACGUGAACUGAGACACGUCAGACUCCGUACGGGAGGCAGCAGGUGGGAAGUUUUGGAACAAGUCGGGACGACGAACGCCCUGACUCCCGAAG